UAUACGACCGUACCGCAGACCGACACUGGUGCGCGAGAUGAGUAUUCUAAGGCGCUUGAGAGAACUCAGGAGAAGGAACUCGGCAAAUUGACACCGUAACUUCGGAAGAAGGUGUGCCCUAUUAGUGUGUAGUGAACAACGAAGCAUGAAUGGGUUGCAAAAAAUCGGUGGCUGCGACUUUUAUUAAAAACACAGCACUCUGCAAACACGAAAGUGGACGUAUAGGGUGUGACGCCUGCCCGGUGCUGGAAGAUUAAAUGAUGGGGUGCAAGCUCUUGAUUGAAGUCCCAGUAAACGGCGGCCGUAACGAUAACGGUCCUAAGGUAGCGAAAUUCCUUGUCGGGUAAGUUCCGACCUGCACGAAUGGCGUAACGAUGGCCACACUGUCUCCUCCUGAGACUCAGCGAAGUUGAAAUGUUUGUGAUGAUGCAAUCUCCCCGCGGAAAGACGGAAAGACCCCAUGAACCUUUACUGUAGCUUUGUAUUGGACUUUGAACAGAUCUGUGUAGGAUAGGUGGGAGGCUUUGAAGCAGGGUCGCUAGAUCUUGUGGAGCCAACGUUGAAAUACCACCCUGGUGUGUUUGAGGUUCUAACCUAGGUCCAUUAUCUGGAUCGGGGACAGUGCAUGGUAGGCAGUUUGACUGGGGCGGUCUCCUCCCAAAGCGUAACGGAGGAGUUCGAAGGUACGCUAGUUACGGUCGGACAUCGUGACGAUAGUGCAAUGGCAUAAGCGUGCUUAACUGCGAGACUGACAAGUCGAGCAGAUGCGAAAGCAGGACAUAGUGAUCCGGUGGUUCUGUAUGGAAGGGCCAUCGCUCAACGGAUAAAAGGUACUCUGGGGAUAACAGGCUGAUACCGCCCAAGAGUUCAUAUCGACGGCGGUGUUUGGCACCUCGAUGUCGGCUCAUCUCAUCCUGGGGCUGUAGCCGGUCCCAAGGGUAUGGCUGUUCGCCAUUUAAAGAGGUACGUGAGCUGGGUUUAAAACGUCGUGAGACAGUUUGGUCCCUAUCUUCCGUGGGCGCUGCAGAUUUGAGGAAGCCUGCUCCUAGUACGAGAGGACCGGAGUGGACACACCUCUGGUGUAUCGGUUGUCACGCCAGUGGCAUUGCCGAGUAGCUAAGUGUGGAAGAGAUAACCGCUGAAAGCAUCUAAGCGGGAAACUCGUUUCAAGAUGAGAUCUGCCGGGGCCUUGAGCCCCCUAAAGAGUCGUUCAAGACCAGGACGUUGAUAGGUCAGGUGUGGAUGC
rnacentral:rRNA from 1 species